rnacentral:lncRNA from 10 species
AGGCGACACCGCGGGGUGCGCAGGGGUGGGUCGGGCCCCAGGUGUCCGGGCCCUGCCAGGGCCAGCUGUGCCCUCCCCGGGGAUACCCGCAGUCCGGGGGGGCCUGAGCUCAGGACCCUGGAAGAACAGGGACCACAAAUAAGGACAGGGACAGGCCUGGAGCGGUGGCUCACGUCUGUAAUUCCAGCACUUUGGGAGGCCGAAGCGGGCAGAUGACCUGAGGUCAGGAGUUCAAGACUAGCCUGGCCAACAUGGUGAAACCCCGUCUCUACCAAAAAUACAAAAAUCAGCCGGACGUGGUGGCGGGCGCCUGUAAUCCCAGCUACUCGGGAGGCUGAGAUCUCUUGAACCCGGGAGGCGGAGGUGGCAGUGAGCUGAGAUGGCGCCAUUACACUCCAGCCUGGGCAACAAAGCGAGACUCCGUCGCAAAAAAAAAAAAAAAAAAAAAAAAAAGGACAGGGACAGCUGAGGGUGCUGGAGCACUCACCCUCUGCUAGGCGAGGUCAUUGUUUUAUUUUAUUUUAUUAUUUUUAUUUAUUUAUUUAUUUUGAGCUGGAGUCUCGCUCUGUCACCCAGUUUGGAGUUCAGUGGCACGAUCUCAGCUCACUGCAACCUCUGCCCACCAGGUUCAAGCAAUUCUCAUGCCUCGGCCUCCCCAGUAGCUGGGAUUACAGGCAUAUACCACCAUGCCCGGCUAAUUUUUUUGUAUUUUUAAUAGAGAUGAGGUUUCACCAUGUUGGCCAGGAUGGUCUUGAACUCCUGACCUCAGGAAUCCACCCACCUUAGCCUCCAAAAAAGCUGGGAUUACAGGCAUGAGCCACCACGCCCAGCCUUUGGUUUGUUUGUUUGAUUUUGGAGACGGAGUCUAGCUCUGUCGCCCAGGCUGGAGUGCAAUGGCGUGAUCUCGGCUCACUGCAACCUCCACCUCCUGGGUUCAAGCGAUUCUCCUGCCUCAGCCCCCCUAGUAGCUGGGAUUAUAGGCGCACACCACCAUGCCUGGCUAAUUUUUGUAUUUUUUAGUAGAGACAGGGUUUCACCAUGUUGGUCAGGCUUGUCUCGAACCCCUGACCUCAGGUGAUCCACCUGCCUUGGCCUCCCAAAGUGCUGGGAUUACAGGCGUGAACCACCGCACCCGGCCGCAUUCAGUUUUUUAAAAUUUAAUUUAGAAACAUGAUUAAUUUUUUGUACAGUUGGGAUCUCACUGUGUUGCCCAGGCUGGUCUCAAACUCAAGACCAGGAGGUUCAGGCCAUCCUUCAGCCUUGGCCUCCCAAAGUGCUAGGAUUACAGAUGUGAGCCACUGUGCCCAGCUUCUCUUCAGCAUUUAAAGCUACCAUCUGACAUAUCAGAUAUUUUAUUUUAUUUUAUUUUUUGAGACGGAGUCUCUCUCUCUUGCCAAGGCUGGAGUGCAGUGGCACGAUCUCGGCUCACUGCAACCUCUGCCUCCCGGGUUCAAGCGAUUCUUCUGCCUCAGCCUCCUGAUUAGUUGGGAUUACAGGCACCUGCCACCAUGCCCAGCUAAUUUUUUUUGUAUUUUUAGUAGAGACGGGGGUUUCACCAUGUUGGCCAGGAUGGUCUCGAACUCCUGACCUCAAGGAAUCCUCCCGCCUCAGCCUCCCAAAAUGUUGGGAUUACAGGCUUGAGCCCCAGCCCCCUGCUGAUAUUUCAUUUCAUCUUUUGUCCUGUUUGUCCCCAGGACUGGAGGAAUGUCAGCUCCAGGAGGGUGGGGGCUGUUCCCCUGCUCUGUCCCCAUGCCCAGUGUCCAGGGCACAGUGCCUGGCAUACAGCAGGUGCCCAGUGAUCUUUGGUGAGGAAUGAACGGAUGUCCAGGUCACAGAUGAAGGAGGAGACCCCAGGCACCAGGAGGCGUUGGUAAAAAUCCGCUGGAGUGCAAUGUCAGAAACACCUACGUAUCCAUCAGAUUCCUACCCAGGAAUGUCGGCUCAAUAAACAGCCAUCCUGCCUGCAGUGGCGGGCCCUACAGCAGAGCCAGUCACAGCCUCCGCCCAGGAGGAGCCUCACAAACUGAACAUGGGGAGAGAAAAGAAAGUGGCAGGAGGGUUUGGACGAGGUAAGAAAUUUUAUGUAAGGCCGGGCACGGUGGCUCAUGCCUGUAAUCCAGCACUUUGGGAGGCUGAGGCAGGCGGAUUGCUUGAGGUCAGGAGUUCGAGACCAGCCUGGACAACGCAGUGAAACCCCAUCUCUACUAAAAACACAAAAAUUAGCCAGGUGUGGUGGCGCACACCUGUAGUCCCAGUUACUCGGGAGGCUGAGGCAGAAUUGCUCCAACCUGGGAGGCGGAGGUUGCAGUGAGCCAAGAUCAUGCCACUGCACUCCAGCCUGGACAACAGAGUGAGACUGUCUCAAAAAAAAAAAAAAAAAAAAAAGGCCAGGUCUGGUGGCUCACCCCUGUAAUCCCAGCACUUGGGGAGGCCAAGGAAGGCAGAUCACAAGGUCAAGAGAUCAAGACCAUCCUGGCCAACAUGAUGAAACCCCAUCUCUACUAAAAAUACAAAAAUUAAAUUAGCUGAGUAUGGUGUCAUGUGCCUGUAAUCCCAGCUACUUGGAAGGCUGAGACAGGAGAAUCACUUGAACCCGGGAGGCGGAGGUUGCAGUGAGCCAAGAUCGCGCCACUGCACUCCAGCCUGGGACAGACAAGAGCGUGACUCCGCCUCAAAAAAAAAAAAAGAGAGAGAGAGAGGGAUUCACCUGCCUCAGUCUCCCAAGUAGCUGGAAUUACAGGCAUGCACCACCAUCCCUGGCUAUUUUUGUAUUUUUAGUAGAGACCGGGUUUCACUAUGUUGGCCAGGCUGGUCUGGAACUCUUGGUCUCAAGUGAUCUGCCUGCCUCGGUCUCCCAAACUGCUGGAAUUACAGGCGUGAGCCACUGUGCCCAGCCCACACAGCUUUUUGAAUGUACCAAAACCUACUGAAUUGUAUACUGAAAUUUUUUUUAAUAAAAAACUGCUGCAAAAUGCUAUUUUCCAGGCCUGCCUAGAAAUGAGAAACUCUAAAUUUAAGGUGGUGGUACCUGUGCCAGGACAGGGUGAAACUGGGGUGGGGAGUGAGGGGGGUUGGCAGUAUCAGGUUGUCUGACUCGCCCAUGAUGGCUGUAACAAAGCACCAAAAACUGGGUGUGGUGAGGUGGCUCUUGACUGUGAUCCCAGCACUUUGGGAGGCCGAGGCGGGAGGAUCACUUGAGCCCAGGAGUUUGAGACCAGCCUGAGGAAUAAGGUGAGACCCCAUCUCUACAAAAAAUACAAAAUUAGCGGGGUGUGGUGGCACACACCUGUAGUCCCAGCUACUUGGGAAGCUGAGAUGGGAAGAUUGCUUGAACCCAGGAGGUAUAGGCUGCAGUGAGCUGUGAUGGCAUCUCUGCACUUCAGCCUGGGUGACAGAGCAAGAUCCUGUCUCAACCACAAAGAAACAGCUGGGUGCAGUGGCUUAUGCCUGUAAUCCUAGCGUUUUGAGAGGCUGGCCCAGAUGGAUCGCUUGAACCCGGUAGUUCAAGACCAGUCUGGGCAACAUAGUGAGACCCCAUCUCACAAAUACCAAUAAAUUGACUGGGUAUGGUGGCUCAUGCCUGUAAUUCCAGCACUUUGGGAGGCUGAGGUGGGUUGAUCACUUGAGGUCAGGAGUUUGAGAUCAGCCUGGGCAACAUGGUGAAGCCCCAUCUCUACUCAAAAUACAAAAAUUAGCCAGGCUUGAUGGUGAGUGCCUGUAAUCCCAGCUACGUGGGAGAAUCGCUUCAACCCGGGAGGUGGAGGUUGCAGUGACCUGAGAUCCAGCCAUUGCACUCCAGCCUAGGCAAUAGAGCGAGACUCUGUCUCACAGAAAAAUAAAUAAAUAAAUAAAUUAAAUAAAUAAUUAGGCAGGAGUGAUGGCAGGCACCUGUGGUCCCAGCUACUCACGAGAACCAGGUGGGAGGAUCACCUGAGCCCAGGAGGUCGAGGCUGCAGUGAGCUAUGAUUGCGACACUGCACUCCAGCCUAGGUAACAUAGUGGGACCCUGUCUCAAAAAAAA